GCUGCAUUAGCUCAACUGGUUAGAGCAUUAGGCUUAUAUCCUAAAGGUUAUUGGUUCAAGUCCAGUAUGCAGUA
rnacentral:tRNA from 1 species